rnacentral:lncRNA from 1 species
ACCUCAUAGACCCCUCGAGGGCCGUCAAGUACCAGAUUAACAAUUGCUCCUUGAAUCAGAGGUUCCUGCAACUUACUCUUUCAUUUUUCAAUGCCCCUUGGCAAUCAUUAUUUCACCUGACCGUUUGAUCUCUCUUUUUUUUUCAACAGCUUGAGUAUAGGUUCACACGUGGCUGUUAGAGGAGAUGUGAACCAUGACAUGUAGUU